rnacentral:lncRNA from 1 species
GCUCACUACUAGAUUAUUCACACCCCUCUAGAUUGACCUUUGAAAACUAAGUCAGCAAACCACCAACCAUUCACUCACUGGUAAUUAACCAAUUGACUGAGUAAAUAAUUCUGUAACAAAUGCAAUGUGUAGUUCCAGGCAUCAGCUUUAGGUAAUCGGUGAUGCAAAUCACUGCUUGGCCUCCAGCAGCAAUAAAAUUAGUGAGUAAAGUUUCCAACUUUACAUCCUUGCCAAGCUUUGUCUUCUUGCACCACCUGAUUCAAGCUCUGAACUGAAGAUGUUUCAAUUCACUGUUGGUCUGAGAAGUCAUUUACUGCCCAGAAGUUACCUAACUUGCCUCUAGAUCCAGGCCUUAUAUGUUAUUUUUCCCGGAGUUAUAAUAAAAUGCCCAAACCUGUUUUAACUAUUUAACUUUCACACUAAAUUAUAAAAAGGACAUUGAAUGAAUUGCUAUGGGAUUUUUUUUUAAAUAAUUAACUUUAAAUGUAAAUAUUUAAAUCUUUUUAAAUAAUUAACUUCAAAUGUAAAUAUUUAAAUUUGAGUUGCAAAUAUCAAUGGAAUUUCAAGGAAGUCUUGGAGAACACAAAUAAUAAGGGCAAAAGAAGGGGAGUUGCCAGGGCAAAAGAAUGCCAAUUCGUUGUUUUUGUUUGUUUUUGUUUUGCUUGGUUUUUGCUUUUGUUUCUUUUUGGGAAGUGGAGUCAGAAGUCAUUUCUUCUGAGAAGGGUAGAGACUAGAAGCGAUUCAGAAUGCAGAGUCUCUGGCAGACACUCAAUUUAUCUCUGGAAAGUGGGUCAUCAAAUAGGAACUGACAUGUUAUUUGUUCAUGCAAAUACAUAUUUUGAAAUAAUUAUUGAAAGUAUCGGAAGAAAGGCAGCAAGAAUUGUUGCUGUCUGAGAACUAUAACAAGGACAGCUAAAUAUAGUGGGCACUUAAAAGGUUUUGUCUUUUGAUCCCAUGAGUCCUUUUGUUUUGAAUGAACAAGUCAUAGACUCGAAGUCAUAUGCUGAAUCUUGGAAUUUAUUAGGAAGUCAAAAGGGUGCCAUUCUUUUGGAUGACAUCUUCUUUUAAGCAAAAUAUGGUUUAGGUGCUUGGAGGUAAAAUAAGACAAAUUGUGUUGAAGUAUAUAAAUGGUGUCCAUAUUAGGCUAUUGCAAAAACUAUUCACUUUUAAGAGCUCAGUGCUUACUGUUGGCAUUUUAAUAAUUUCUUCUCUAAAGAAGAGCAUUCAUCUGGGACAAAUGACUUGUUCCAUGGAGAGAAAAGUUAAUAUUUAAUAAGAGAAAACAUUUCACUUUUAUGCUUUCUUAAAUUUCAGCAAGCAUAUGAUUUUGAAAAGUAUCAAAAUGCCUGAAUAUCUUUGAAAUGUAAAGGUUAUGGUUUCUUUUUCUCCCUGUAUUCUUUUUUUUUUUUUAAUUCCAUUGUUUGUAAGUUGGCAAGCUGUCUUCAAAAACUUUUUCUAAAUGAAAAAACAUGGUGGGAUAAUGCAUUAUGUAAUUUCAUUCCAGGUUUGCAUUAAUAAAGUAUUAAUACUUGUAAGUUUGCAACUAGAGGUAGUACCGUGGCUGUCAUAUAUUACAGUACAUGCAAUUUGAUUGUUACAGAGUAGACAUCUGCCAGAAACAUUUCAGUUUAGCAUGAUGAAUUUACCUUACCCUGUCAAGAAUCACAUUACAAUGCCAAAGUGUUGCUUUGAAUAUAUGUUGAAAAACAGAAAUAAAUUUGUUGAGGUAGGGUUUC